GAUGAACGCUGGCGGCGUGCCUAAUACAUGCAAGUCGAGCGAACGGAUGAGAAGCUUGCUCCUCUGAUGUUAGCGGCGGACGGGUGAGUAACACGUGGAUAACCUACCUAUAAGACUGGGAUAACUUCGGGAAACCGGAGCUAAUACCGGAUAACAUGUUGAACCGCAUGGUUCAAAAGUGAAAGACGGCUUUGCUGUCACUUAUAGAUGGACCCGCGCUGCAUUAGCUAGUUGGUAAGGUAACGGCUCACCAAGGCAACGAUGCGUAGCCGACCUGAGAGGGUGAUCGGCCACACUGGAACUGAGACACGGUCCAGACUCCUACGGGAGGCAGCAGUAGGGAAUCUUCCGCAAUGGGCGAAAGCCUGACGGAGCAACGCCGCGUGAGUGAUGAAGGUCUUCGGAUCGUAAAACUCUGUUAUUAGGGAAGAACAUAUGCGUAAGUAACUGUGCACAUCUUGACGGUACCUAAUCAGAAAGCCACGGCUAACUACGUG
rnacentral:rRNA from 1 species